UACGGAGGAUGCAAGCGUUAUCCGGAUUCAUUGGGUUUAAAGGGUGCAUAGGCGGAUUAAUAAGUCAGUGGUGAAAGCCUGCGGCUUAACCGUAGAAAUGCCAUUGAUACUGUUAUUCUUGAGUAUAGUUGAGGUGGGCGGAAUGUGUAAUGUAGCGGUGAAAUGCUUAGAUAUUACACAGAACACCAAUUGCGAAGGCAGCUCACUAAGCUGUUACUGACGCUGAGGCACGAAAGCGUGGGGAGCAAACAGG
rnacentral:rRNA from 1 species